ACCUAAUUUGUAACGACCGUCAGACAGUCCAAGUUCUGAUUGCCUUUUCGCCGACGUAACCGCAGCAACAAUGAGAAUCUGUUUUCAAAGCUUCUUGAUUACUAACCAAUUUGAAACGCAGCUAAUUAACUCGCCACCUCCUCCCUCUUGGGCCUCUUUCGUUGUCGUUCAGAAUCAUCAAAGUUUUCACAUUCCCUCAAAUUCAUCAAAACUUUCCUGAAAUUUGCCAUGGCAAACCGAUCGCCGGAAACCACCGCUAAUGGCCAAUCGUCUGAAACCACUGUAAGGGUUCUUCUGCGAUUUUGUUCGAACAUGUUUUACUAGGCAGUGGAGACUCUAAACUGUUUCAGGCUUAUCCAUUUUUGAGAAGCUUGCAAUAGGUAUUGUCGUUGAGGGUUCAUCGCUCCUAACCGCCUAGAAAGUAAAGAGUUAUGCAAGUCGCCUUAAACGUGGUGGUCUUCAAUCACCGGGAAGGGAUCUUUAGUGAAAGCUUUGUAAUAGCCUUUCGUCUCAGUUUACUAUAGUUUUCUGACUGUCAUUUGUGCUUUGAUCUUCCAUGUUUGGUACGACACUGAACGCCUUGCUCCUGCUACGUACAAAGCAUCACUUGACAUCUGUUCAGUUUUCUUUGAAAAGUGAUCUUGGGAGUUGUCUGUGAUCUUUUUAUGUUCGAUCUUUUAUAUAUUGUGAGUUUGUUAGGAACGAGGAAGAACAAGCGUUUGAGAGAAUUGAGGGAAAUGGAGGAGUUCGAGCUCCAUCACUGUUUAAGUUUCCCACUUUUGAUUCAUGAUUUCACUUCCUCUAUUUCAGAUCAUUGGUUUGGUUUUUGAAAGCUCUUGAUCUGGUGUUUAGGUUGUUGGAGGUUUAAAAGAUGGAGAUGAAGCUUCACUGGAGAGGAUUCGCCAUCUGGUUUUUGUUUUCUAAUUCUCAAUCGCUGUUUUGAUGAUAACACAAUCCAAACCGAAUGACCAACUGAAAAUGGGCAAAUUGAUUUCAAGGAGAUGUAAUCUGUGACACAACUUCAAGGUCUGCAUAGCACAAGAACGAUGUCCGAGCAAGCGCAGCUUCAUCUGGUCAUCACUUUGUCUUCUAAUGCUAUGAGAAUUACUUUAUAUUGCUUCAAUCUGUCAGUCAACGCCAUUACAUGUAGCGUAACAUGUAAAAGUUUUGUUAUCUAGAAAAGUUACUUUGUUUAUUUAAAUUGAUUUGUGUGACUGUGUAGUUUAAUUAUUUUUUAUCCUUAGCCCACACCUUGGUAUGUUGACGAGUUUGUCUUCUGUGACUUUUUUACUUUUUUUUUUCUUUCAAUGGUGUUUGUAUGUUACUGUCUA